AGCGGGAGUAGCUCAGGGGUAGAGCACUGCCUUGCCAAGGCAGGUGUCGCGGGUUCGAAUCCCGUCUUCCGCUCCAU
rnacentral:tRNA from 1 species